rnacentral:rRNA from 1 species
UACGGAGGGAGCUAGCGUUGUUCGGAAUUACUGGGCGUAAAGCGCGCGUAGGCGGCUUUGUAAGUUAGAGGUGAAAGCCCGGGGCUCAACUCCGGAACUGCCUUUAAGACUGCAUCGCUUGAAUCCGGGAGAGGUGAGUGGAAUUCCGAGUGUAGAGGUGAAAUUCGUAGAUAUCGGGAGGAACACCAGUGGCGAAGGCGGCGAUCUGGGAAGAUACUGACGCUGAGGUGCGAAAGCGUGGGGAGCAAACAGG